GACGAACGCUGGCGGCGUGCUUAACACAUGCAAGUCGUACGGUAAGGCCCUUUCGGGGGUACACGAGUGGCGAACGGGUGAGUAACACGUGAGUAACCUGCCCACAACUUUGGGAUAACGCUAGGAAACUGGUGCUAAUACUGGAUAUGUGCUCCUGCUGCAUGGUGGGGGUUGGAAAGCUCCGGCGGUUGUGGAUGGACUCGCGGCCUAUCAGCUUGUUGGUGGGGUAGUGGCCUACCAAGGCGGCGACGGGUCGCCGGCCUGAGAGGGUGACCGGCCACAUUGGGACUGAGAUACGGCCCAGACUCCUACGGGAGGCAGCAGUGGGGAAUAUUGCACAAUGGGCGCAAGCCUGAUGCAGCAACGCCGCGUGCGGGAUGACGGCCUUCGGGUUGUAAACCGCUUUCAGCAGGGACGAAGCUUUUUGUGACGGUACCUGCAGAAGAAGCACCGGCUAACUACGUG
rnacentral:rRNA from 1 species